CGACACUGGAGCAGUUUGUGAAGGUCUGAAGCCUGUGGGAUGGACUCACGUUGGUCAGGUUUAUGGAGGACUGUCUCCUGUGGGAGGGUCCCACAUUGGAGAAGGGGAUGAAUGAGAGGAGUCUUUGUCCUAAGAAGGAAGGAGUGACAGAUACAACUUGUGAUGAACCCAUGAAAGAAACUCAUUUUCUGCCUUCAGAAUAGACAAAUCUCUUGUGGGCGGCUUCUCUUUCUUACUUCUUUUGUAAAAUUCUGUGAGCUAGCAUAGAAGAAAAGAUUGGUUUUCCAGCUCCUGGACAAGCUGUCCCUCACAAGAGCUACCAGCUCUCCGAACAAUGCUUUCAUUUGAUGGGUACAAUUCUACCUUACACUGCUUGCUUUCUCUCCCAUGCAAAAUUAAUCUUUCUUGUCCCCUUUACCCUGCAGAGGUGCCACUUACAUUGGAAAUUUUAUUUUUUCGUAGCUUAAAAUGGGCCCUGAUUCUGCUCCUCUUUGGCAAGAGAUAAAUGUGAUGGGAUACAAUAGCAGAGUAGAGAGAACAUGAAUCUUAAAGAUCUCAAAAUCCUUAGACUAGCAGCUCAAGCUUUUUUUGUUUAAGUGCAGAGGGGAUGAAAGACGGUCUACUUAAGGCAGCAGGUUUCACAGAAGCAAGAAGCUCCUCAUUACUUACCAAAAACAGGCACAGCAUGCAAGUAGCCAAGCAGCAGCAAACACAGAUUACAGAAAGAUCCUGUGCAGAAAAUCAUUGCCUUUGGAGAUGAGAGAGGAGCACUGAAAAAUUCCUUGAGGGCUUUAGUAUUACUAUUCUAAAAUACUGAUAGAUGCUCAAAUUGGGGAAACAAAGUAGAAAAACCGUCAGACAAAAUUUUGUUCCUAUCUUGCAUUUUUGUUCCUAUACUAUCACUAAGAUCAGCAGUAAAUGGGGAUUCCUGACAGCAUUCCAAGGAAGGUUGAUACUGCAGAAAUGCAACUGCUCUGUACACUGGGCUGAGCUGAAAGCAGCAGAAAUGAAUGUCCUCCACUAUUUAGCCGGUCAUCCCUCCCCACCUUUCCUUUCUUAUUAAGAAGAUGAUGCCUUUCCCAUUUCAGUGGAAGGAAAGACCCCUGCAGACUGCACAGAAGCUGGAUCAUGCUGCAACACGUUUAAUGUUACGGGACAGCGCAGUGUUGCCAUCAGAACUAAUCCCAGCAGCGGCAUAUCAAGCCACCCCAUUUCCAUUUAGCUUUUGUCAGUAUCACAUGCAGACAGAUAUGGAUUUGGUCUGGGGAAUGGCAUUUGCCUUUGAAGUCUUU
rnacentral:lncRNA from 1 species